GACAGAGGGUGCAAACGUUGUUCGGAAUUACUGGGCGUAAAGCGCGUGUAGGCGGUCGUGCAAGUCGGGUGUGAAAGCCCUCGGCUCAACCGGGGAAGUGCACUCGAAACUGCAUGACUAGAGUCUCGGAGAGGAUAGUGGAAUUCUCGGUGUAGAGGUGAAAUUCGUAGAUAUCGAGAGGAACACCGGUGGCGAAGGCGGCUAUCUGGACGAUGACUGACGCUGAGACGCGAAAGCGUGGGGGAGCAAACAGG
rnacentral:rRNA from 1 species